UACCGGUGAAACGAGGAAACGUGCAUGGUUCGCGCCCCCGCAUCCGCUUCCUCCUGGAAGUCUUCACUGUAGCAAGAAAAAGCCCCGGCACCAGCAAGAAGGCGAAAAUCGCGUGGAUUUUCAGGAACCUGCUUGCGGCAGCCGGGGCUUUAUC
rnacentral:sRNA from 1 species